AAAGUCGCCAGGACAACACGCUCCAUUUCCUUUUGGAAAAAGCAUGAAUAUACUGACUUAUCUCUCUCUUUAUAUAUAGUAGGCCUAGGCCACCAGGACACACGCUGCAGCCAGACAGGAUGGGGAGACGGGCAGAGAUAGAGUGGCCGACAGAUAUUGAUCCAACAGGGAGACAGCCAGAGGAAAUACAGACUCGUCACAGUCACACUCACAGCACACCUAUUAAAAGAGGGAUGGAUGAUUAAAACAACAACAAUAUUAACAUAAAAAAAAACUCAG